AAAAAAUAAGUUUAUGAAGGAGAUAUAUUGAAAAGAAAAAGAAAAAGAAAAGAAAAAAAAAUACAAUGAUCGAAUAUAUGACAGCCAGAGAAAAACUCGAAUCUUGUAGUUUCAUAAAGGAAAUUAGUGAUUGAUGUUGGAUGUUGGCGAAGAAUUUAGUGACAAGCUUGGAACCCUAAGUUACAGGGAGGGUCCAAUCGAGAAUCCACAGAGGUGGUAAACACCAACUCAUUCUUUGAUAGCCCCAUUAACUAGAGAGUGCAGAAAAGUAAUGUGAGCCAAGAUUUUCUUUUGUGGCAUAUCAAAAAGAUUGUAAGAAUUGAAAAGAACGAUUUCAAUUUUAGUAUGAGAAUAUUUUAGUAUGCAAAUUUAUACUCUCUUUUGGGUUCAAUUGCUAGCUUGAAAAUGACCUUAUAUUCA
rnacentral:lncRNA from 1 species